rnacentral:tRNA from 1 species
CACGGGAAAUGGUCGGGAUAGCUCAGUUGGUAGAGCAGCGAAACUGAAAUCUG